GUGGCCGCCGCGGUAAUACGUAGGUGGCAAGCGUUGUCCGGAUUUACUGGGCGUAAAGGGAGCGUAGGUGGAUAUUUAAGUGGGAUGUGAAAUACUCGGGCUUAACCUGGGUGCUGCAUUCCAAACUGGAUAUCUAGAGUGCAGGAGAGGAAAGUAGAAUUCCUAGUGUAGCGGUGAAAAUGCGUAGAGAUUAGGAAGUAUACCAGUGGCGAAGGCGACUUUCUGGACUGUAAACUGACACUGAGGCUCGAAAAGCGUGGGGAGCAAAACAGGAUUAGAUACCCUGGUAGCCACGCCGUAAAACGAAUGAAUACUAAGGUGUAAGGGGUUGUCAUGAGCCUCUGUG
rnacentral:rRNA from 1 species